UACAGAGGGUGCAAGCGUUAAUCGGAAUUACUGGGCGUAAAGCGUGCGUAGACGGUCAUGUAAGUCGGGUGUGAAAGCCCCGGGCUCAACCUGGGAAUUGCAUUCGAGACUGCAUGGCUAGGAUGCGGAAGAGGGAAGCGGAAUUUCCGGUGUAGCGGUGAAAUGCGUAGAUAUCGGAAGGAACACCAGUGGCGAAAGCGGCUUCCUGGUCCAGCAUCGACGGUUCAGGCACGGAAAAGCGUGGGGAGCAAACAGG
rnacentral:rRNA from 1 species